AGCGCAAGUUUCCUCACAGCC
rnacentral:snRNA from 1 species